UCAGGUGGCCGCAGAGAAUAGGCCCAAGCGACUGUUUACCAAAAACAUAGGUUUCUGCUAAGUCGCAAGACGAUGUAUAGGAGCUGACGCCUGCCCGGUGCUGGAAGGUUAAGGGGAUCUGUUAGAGUAAUCGAAGCAGUGAACUUAAGCCCCAGUAAACGGCGGCCGUAACUAUAACGGUCCUAAGGUAGCGACAUUCCUUGUCGGGUAAGUUCCGACCCGCACGAAAGGCGUAACGAUUUGGGCACUGUCUCAACAACAGACUCGGUGAAAUUGUAAUUCCGGUGAAGAUGCCGGAUACCUGCGACAGGACGGAAAGACCCCAUGGAGCUUUACUGUAGCUUGACAUUGGGUCUUGGUACUACAUGUACAGGAUAGGUGGGAGGCUUUGAAACCAGGACGCCAGUUUUGGCGGAGCCAUCCUUGGGAUACCACCCUU
rnacentral:rRNA from 1 species